rnacentral:rRNA from 1 species
UACAGAGGUCUCAAGCGUUGUUCGGAUUCAUUGGGCGUAAAGGGUGUGUAGGUGGCGCGCUAAGUCGGGUGUGAAAUUUCGGAGCUUAACUCCGGAAACUGCAUUCGAUACUGGCGUGCUUGAGGACUGGAGAGGAGACUGGAAUUUACGGUGUAGCGGUGAAAUGCGUAGAGAUCGGGAGGAACAUCAGUGGCGAAGGCGGCCAUCUGGGAGCAACACUGACGCUAGGCACGAAAGCGUGGGGAGCAAACAGGA